rnacentral:rRNA from 1 species
UACGGGGGGGAGCAAGCGUUGUUCGGAUUUACUGGGCGUAAAGGGCGCGUAGGCGGUCAGCACAAGUCAGUUGUGAAAUCUCCGGGCUUAACUCGGAAAGGUCAACUGAUACUGUGCGACUAGAGUGCGGAAGGGGCAACUGGAAUUCUCGGUGUAGCGGUGAAAUGCGUAGAGAUCUGGAGGAACACCGAUGGCGAAGGGCAGCCCCUGGGCUAACACUGACGCUCAUGCACGAAAGCGUGGGGAGCAAACAGG